GGCUCGGUAGCUCAGUUGGUAGAGCAGUGGACUGAAAAUCCAUGUGUCGCUGGUUCGAUUCCGACCCGAGCCA
rnacentral:tRNA from 1 species